rnacentral:rRNA from 1 species
GCAUAUCAAUAAGCGGAGGAAAAAGAAACCAACAGGGGAUUGCCCUAGUAACGGCGAGUGAAGCGGCAACAGCUCAAAUUUGAAAUCUGGCUUCGGCCCGAGUUGUAAUUUGCAGAGGAAGCUUUAGGCGCGGCACCUUCUGAGUCCCCUGGAACGGGGCGCCAUAGAGGGUGAGAGCCCCGUAUAGUUGGAUGCCUAGCCUGUGUAAAGCUCCUUCGACGAGUCGAGUAGUUUGGGAAUGCUGCUCAAAAUGGGAGGUAAAUUUCUUCUAAAGCUAAAUACCGGCCAGAGACCGAUAGCGCACAAGUAGAGUGAUCGAAAGAUGAAAAGCACUUUGAAAAGAGGGUUAAAUAGCACGUGAAAUUGUUGAAAGGGAAGCGCUUGUGACCAGACUUGCGCCGGGCUGAUCAUCCGGUGUUCUCACCGGUGCACUCUGCCCGGCUCAGGCCAGCAUCGGUUCUCGCGGGGGGAUAAAGGCCCCGGGAAUGUAGCUCCCACGGGAGUGUUAUAGCCCGGGGCGUAAUGCCCUCGCGGGGACCGAGGUUCGCGCAUCUGCAAGGAUGCUGGCGUAAUGGUCAUCAGCGACCCGUCUUGAAACACGGACCAAGGAGUCAAGGUUUUGCGCGAGUGUUUGGGUGUAAAACCCGCACGCGUAAUGAAAGUGAACGUAGGUGAGAGCUUCGGCGCAUCAUCGACCGAUCCUGAUGUAUUCGGAUGGAUUUGAGUAAGAGCGUUAAGCCUUGGACCCGAAAGAUGGUGAACUAUGCUUGGAUAGGGUGAAGCCAGAGGAAACUCUGGUGGAGGCUCGCAGCGGUUCUGACGUGCAAAUCGAUCGUCAAAUCUGAGCAUGGGGGGCGAAAGACUAAUCGAACCAUCUAGUAGCUGGUUACCGCCGAAG